UACGUAGGGUGUGAGCGUUGUCCGGAAUUACUGGGCGUAAAGAGCUCGUAGGUGGUUUGUCGCGUUGUCCGUGAAAUUCCCUGGCUUAACUGGGGGCGUGCGGGCGAUACGGGCAGACUGGAGUACUGCAGGGGAGACUGGAAUUCCUGGUGUAGCGGUGGAAUGCGCAGAUAUCAGGAGGAACACCGGUGGCGAAGGCGGGU
rnacentral:rRNA from 1 species